AUUGAACGCUGGCGGUAUGCUUAACACAUGCAAGUCGAACGGUAACAGGCCUUCGGGCGCUGUCGAGUGGCGGACGGGUGAGUAACGCGUAGGAAUCUGCCUCAUAGUGGGGGGACAACGUGGGGAAACUCACGCUAAUACCGCAUACGCCCUACGGGGGAAAGCGGGGGAUCUUCGGACCUCGCGCUAUGAGAUGAGCCUGCGUUAGAUUAGCUAGUUGGUAGGGUAAAGGCCUACCAAGGCGACGAUCUAUAGCUGGUCUGAGAGGACGAUCAGCCACACUGGGACUGAGACACGGCCCAGACUCCUACGGGAGGCAGCAGUGGGGAAUAUUGGACAAUGGGCGCAAGCCUGAUCCAGCAAUACCGCGUGUGUGAAGAAGGCCCUAGGGUUGUAAAGUUCUUUACCCGUGACGAUGAUGACGGUAACGGGGAAGUAAGCUCCGGCUAACUUCGUGCCAGCAGCCGCGGUAA
rnacentral:rRNA from 1 species